rnacentral:rRNA from 1 species
AUGGCACAGCACGGCGCAUCUGCUGCAGUGCAGCAAGGAAUACUAGAGGUGCUGGGGUAUGUCUGCGAGGAGUUUCCUCCUGAGCACUUGGAGCAGGAUCAGGCCAUCCCUUUACUUGUUCCAAUGCUGCUCGAAACUCUGUUGAAUGAAGAGGGUUAUCAUGAGCAUGCUGACAAUGUGCGGAACAUUUCCAUGAUUGGUGCAAAGUGCCUUGGCCUCAUCGCUAGAACUGUUGGUGAUGCAAUUGUCCCUCUUGUGAUGCCAUUUGUUAAGGUUAACAUCACAAACUUGGAUUGGCAUUGUCGCGAGGCAGCUACUUUUACAUUUAGCUCUAUCCUUGAAGGUCCCUCUGUUGAGAAGCUUACCCCCCUGGUGCACGCUAGACUUGAUUUCUUGGUCAACUCAAUGAAAGAUCUAAACAACCAGGUCAUCAUCCAGAAACUGAGCAACUCUGAUGUGAUGUCCGUGAUUUCCCAGACUGCUGAUCAAUUGAUGUUUCUGUUUCCCUGUGUCUUUGCUUGCCCCAGUUCUACUGUACAUGAAAAAGCAAUACUUGCCAUUUGUCAAGUUGCUUAUGGCAUUCGUGAAGCAGGCUUGCAGAAUAAGGAAGAAUACCAAAUAUGCUCCAUUUCUGUAUGGGUGAUGGGUGAUAUUUGCCGUGCCAUUGAAGACAAAAUGCAGCCUUUCUGUGAUUGCAUUAUGACUGUUCUUUUCAAGGAUCUUGGAGACAUUGCUCUUGCUAUUGGUGAGAAUGUCGAGAAAUACCUGCAAUAUGCCAUGCCAGUGCUUCAAGGAGCUGCUGAGCUCGUUGUUUUGGAUCAAAGCAACGAAGAUACGAUUGUUCACCAUAACCAGCUGAGACAUGGAAUAUUUGAGGCUUACUCCGGUAUACUGCAUGACAAAUCUAAGACAAGAAUUUUGGGACGGAGGGAGUAUUUAUUUGUCAGGGAUGAGAGUGUGACAAAGGCUGCGGUUGCGGCCCUGAGUGAUCUCGCAGACAUACUUGGUCUGAUAUCCUGA